UGGUGUGUGAUUCAAAGGCACACCCUGAUACAAUUGAUUUCCAGCUUCCCAGGGAACACUGCGUGGUAACAAAUCUGCCUUUCAGCUCUCCAACUGCUUACACUGGGGUGUACCACAGCUGCUGAGGAGGUCUCUUUGUUGAGCUCCUGUAGCUCUGCAGGUUCUCUGCUGUAAAUAUUACAGAACGCAGGGACUCGGAAAACAAGCUGAGAGUGCCCAAGGCUUGGAGGAAAUCUUGGGCUCCACCUUACAGUGUGCUGCUGCAGUGCUCUGACAGCUCAAAGAAGCCUUUUGGUCCUAUGUCACACCCCUGGGAGCUUCCCUGUGCACAUCCGUGAGCCACAGAGGUCAGGCCGUAAUGGGCGUAAAGAAAGAGAGACGGACAGAAAAGCAAGUUCAAAGAGAAGGUGGGAGCACUUAGAAGGUGGGAGGAGGAGGAAACCAAUGAGCCAAAAUGGGCAAGUCCCAUCAAAAAAGGGAGUUAUGAGGCAGAGACCAAAUAGAUCAGGUGGUGGACAGGCCACAGGAAGGCAGGCUUAGGAACACAGAAAACACACGAGCGUUCCAAAGUUCAGAAGCAUCAUUCCACCCUCGUCCUCCUCUCACUUUUAAACCAGUCAAGGCCAGACUGCAAAGAGCAAGACCUGUGAGAUGUAACUUGCUGCUUCCGUUUUCUUUCUUCAGGAAAUCUCUUUUCUAUUUCAAGCCCCUGAAAGUCCUGAAGAGGAGAGAGGAGGCGACAGGCAAACAGUGCUCAUAUUAUCAGUUCACACACUUUAACCUGGCGCUGCCAAGCCCACCAUAUCCCCAGGUGCCUCAUCUACAUGUCUUUUAAAUGCCUCCAGGGAAGGCGACCCUACCAGUGCCCUCUCCAGCCUGUUCUUGAAACUCAAUCAAAAUAAAUUAAAAAGAAAAAGUUUACUCGCAGGGAGUGUGCCACUUUCUACUCUUACAGCAGACUGUAGAAUCGUCCUCACCACAGACAAGUGUACCCAGUCAGGACUUCCAGCUGGAAUGAAAAAGCCCCAGAACUCUCAAACUUCAAAGCCCAGAGUUCUGCUGCUCCCAAUCCUUCCUUCUCUGAGAAUCCCAAAUGAUGAUUUCAUGAUGGCUGAGCCCGAUGGCCUCCAACCAUCACAGCACCCACCAGUCCUUCUCUGUUCACAAACAACAGGUCUAAUGGGUGCCUUCCCUCAUUCUGCCUUUGUGCUUUGAAAAGUUCUCACGUAUUUGUUGGCUCCAGUCUUUCUUGGAGCACUGCCUGGGGUGGCUUCAUUCCCUUCCCCAUGUGAAACAGACCGUAACUUGCUCAGACUGUUCCUCCAUCUUUUGUGGAAGAAUAAAAGUUGGCAUAUGUUUCCAUCAGUGGAGUGCCUGAUGGAAAAAGAAGGGGAAAAAGAUUAAGAAGUUCAAAUGCUCAAGAAAUGAAGAAGAGAGAAAAAGCUGAAGUAAAGAGAAAAAAAGGAAGUAGCAGAAACUGGAUCGGAGAGGAUUGGAUUUAGAGACAAUAAGGUCCAAACCUUGUGAUCUUAUGUGCAAAUCGCACCACAGGAACAUUGCAAAACCAGGGCCCAGACUUUGGUCCCCACAGACCUUAAGCCACCUCUGGUCUGAGGUGCGAUAUUGGAAACGUAUUAAGAUGGAAAUAAGUACUGUUUUUCUUCACAAAACUGUCCUAAAUCUGUCCGGAGAGAUCAAAUCUUGUGUCUCUGUGAUCAGAUGUAAGCUCCACAACCAAAACCACAAAAGAACCUGUCCAUUUGUUUUUAAGAAUACACCUGAAUUUAGCAAGUAAUUCUGGAGAUCACAAACAGUAUCUCUGAAGAUUUACAGAUUUGUUAAUUUAAAAUAAAAAUGGGGUCAAGUUGCAUGUAGCACUUCAAAUGACACAGGCAGGAUUUCAGCACCUCAGGGCCACGUCUCUGCUUCUGGAAGCAAAAGAUCUUCUAUUUCUCACAGGUGAGCAAAGCGACUUUUCCUGGAGAGUGCAAGUGUUGCUAGCGAAGCGAUAGACUGCUGUGUAAGGUGUGAUGUUGGCCUUUCACCUUCUUCCCCAAGAGUUCCAUCACAAAGCAUACAAAAGGAGACUGAAGGCUCCAACUUCACAGCACAGCUUCAGAUCUCUUAGCACAGCAAGUCAUCAGCUCAAGCGGGUGCAUUUUACAACAUCAGCAUCAACAGAACAGCAGUUACACCACUCCAGUCUCCCUGCAAUGCAUGCCCAUGUUUGCAGGCCACAUCUGCCUGAAUUGUGGCCUGGAUUGUGGCCUGGAUCCCACCUGCAGAG